ensembl:lncRNA
AAUCCCUCUAUUGGGCAGUUGCCUUUUAUUUUAAGGUCAGUACCAUCUGAAUUUUCAAAUUGCAUGCAGACUAAUCAAUGAUUACCUUUUCUCUGCGCUGAAAAUAGCCUUCCUAGUUAAUACAUCACCACCAAACUCAGAGAUUUCUAGCCCGUACUUCAGUGUUUUCCAUUUUAAUCUCAGAGCAGAGAUAACUCUAGAUGUCUUAAAGCUUGCCUGGUCUCUACAAACCUUAUUAGAGAUCAAAAGAAAGAAGACAUGACUUCAUGCAGUCCUGGGCUACGUGUCGCACUGAAAAUACUCCGGAGCAUUCUGGGUCUCCAUUACUGUUGUGGUCUUCAUCCAGAUGGCUGAGCCCAGACUGCAAGGGUUGCCCUCAGUGCAGCUCUCCACAGGCCGUGCGCUAUCAGCUGGCACAUGGCAGCACCUGAGGUUGUUCACCAACAGGGCCACGACUGCCCUGGGGGGCUUACCAGCCCCGUCAGGCAUCCCAGGGACACAUGAUGCUUCUGAAUCCUGGUCACAGCUACAGUAGACACUUUCAGAGCACGGUGAGGCAAGGCCCCUGGGCUUGGGUUUACAGAUUGUUGUAGAGCAGGACAAGUCUCCUGCUGAUGCACUGACAGCCAUCAGGUGGUGCUUGGCCAAGGCAGAUGCCUUGCUCUGUGCCUGGCUGCCACUGAUGACCGCUGAUGGUCCAGCAAGUGCUUUUGCUUGGGCCACAGCCUUGCUAGAGAGGACAGACAGUCUUUCUGGCACCUCUGAGCUUCUGUUGCCUUCACUAAGGCCAGCAUAGCAAUCAGGCAAUGCUGUUUCAGCAUCAUGAAAUGGGUCUUCAUCAGAGUUUUUCUGGGUCUCCUCUUCAUCUCUUAUUACUGCACAUGUUUCCUCAGCCAUUUAUUGCACGAAAUACAGAAACUUUCUGUGGACAAAGUGGAAGCAAGAGGAUUUCAUUUCCACAUACACACAGGCACACAUACAGCAGACCUACGCAGAGUGACAUUUGAAGUAAGAACCUCUCCUUGUAUUUAACCAAUGGACCUAUUAAUUUUCUAAUAAAGCACAACCCUUGGGUCACUUCAGGCCAUUUUUUGUGAUUUGCAUUGGAUGUUCUUCGAGACACAACAUUCAUCCAAUAAUAAUUAAAAUGAUAUACUGUACUAUUAACAUUCUCAAAUCUUUAAAGCAAAGUGAUCUAUCCCUGCAGCACUGGCUUUGCUGACUAAUUAAACAGAAUACAGUUGUAAAUGGCUAUUGUAAGCACUUCUCCCAUUUAAGAACACAGCUCUAGCAAGUGUAGUUCAUAGAGAUGGGUGAGUUAUCAGGAUUGAUCUGCCCUAAAGAGGUGGAUGUACCACAAACAGCAGGUUUCAUUUAAAUGCCCUCUCUGAGAUUAAUCUGUCUGCUAGCAGUUUGUUUACAAGGUUGCCUUUUCCCCUCCUACCAACUCUAUCAGCAGAGCAAUAAUAGUACUAUGCUAGUCAUAGACAGGAAAAAAAGAAUACUUACCGAGGUUAGUGGGGGAAAGAAAAAGAGUUACAGUGCAUUGUGUCUGCGCAUCAUGUUUUCCUGAAUAUGAGUCAGCAAAAACUGGAACAGAAACAUCACUGUGAAGAAGCAGGAGCAGCAACAGCAUUACUCUAUUCCACCCAGCAACAACACAGUGAAUCCCAAUCACUGAGAAGUGAAGGGCUGACUUCACCCCCUCCUCCCCCCCCAUCCCUUCCUUAUUAAGAGGAUAUUCCUCCCUAGUAUUGAGCUUUGAUGUCAUCUUUGAGCAUCAAAAUGAAAACCGGGAUUGGAUGACAUUAUUUUUUACCACAGAUCCAAACAUCCCUGAUUCACUCAAUAUAUGGGGAUGAUACAAAUGGCUCAUCCUACCUCUGUCAAACAGCAAGGAGCAAAUACAGCUCCCAGAAGAGUGGAGGGCAUUCUGGACUCCAAUGCAUACGUGCUCUUCUUCAGAGAAAACAAACUUAGAUAAACUUUAGAUGCAUAAACCCAAGAUGAAACAAGCUUUUGGCACCAACUGAAUGCUGAGCAUAAAGGCAGCCAGAAGGUGUAGAUUUAAAUGUCUAAUAUACACUUAUAUUUAAUUAUGCUGACCUAAUCUUUCAGGGAAAAAAGAAAAAAAAAACAACAACUCUGCUAUCAACUUAAAUAUCCAAUAAAAUAGUAAACUUCAUCUGCACCUUUGAUGUUUAGAAAAGCUACCUUCAGCAUCUUCUCCCACUUGUAAUGCCAGGAACAAAAUUCAAAAAAUAUCUAUCUGCAACUACUUUUGAGAAUCUGCCACAGGGCUUACACUGCCCUGAGGCUUUCUCUACUUUAUUCUCUUAAUAUGAAUAAAAGAAAGAACCAACCCAAAAUACUACCUAGAAUCUUCCUGGAGAUGGGAAAGAAUAAGGGUAGAUUCUAUCUCCACUUCUAUAUACAAUAGAACACAGAUAAUUAUUAUUUUUUUUUAAAUGUUUCAUCUGACUAUCUCUCUCUCUAAUUAAUCUGUUAAAUGAGAUAUAAUUCCAAGGUGGAACAUCUGAACUCCAGCUAACAAGUUCAGAUUUACACCCCAAAGUCUACUUGAACACUGUUUUCUUAUGUGUUCUAAAAAAUAUUGUACACUGAAUCGGUGAAAUAACUAAUUCUGCCGCGUUUAUGUGCCAAAUCAUGCUGCAGACUGUAUAAUUUAGACUAUGAAGAGAUUAAUAUGCUGUGAGUAAAUAAACUUUGCAAGGUUGUAUCUUAUUAAUUUCCAUUUGUCUGAAUCAGAAGUUAGGGUAAUUGGCAAGCAUAGAACUCAGAUACCAGGAAUUUUACUCCAAGAAUGAUCAUUAGAAUACAACAUUGUGCAUAAUCCUAGUUUUGGUUGUUCUCUCUCCAAAGCACCGCAGGUAUACCUUGCCAUAUAAUCAUAGGCUCCAUAGAGUUGGACUAGAUGACCUUUAAAGGUCCCUUCCAACUCCCCUGCUAUGAACAGGGACCCCUACAGCUAGAUCAGGUCGCUCAGAGUCUGGUCCAGCGGGGCCUUGAACGUCUCCAGGAACGGAGCAUCCAACACGUCUCUGGGCAACCUGUCGCCCUGUCUUCCAAUUACAAAGAGGACAGUGGAUGGGUGUUGUAAGGUAAUACAUGGUCUCAAGCUAUGCCAACACGUUUCUACCAGUCAGUCAUAAUAUUCUGUUCUCCACUUCUAAAUUUGCAGCAAUUUGCUACAAAAUGAACAUUUUCUAGUAGUCCAACAGAACAUUAGAUAAGAGGAUAUAUAUUUUUCUAAUAUUAAAUCUCUCUGGAGCUUCAUUUUUUUCAGCAAAUUUUUACAGGCAGCAUUUUUCUUUGAAGGGAAGGAGUUUAAAAAGCCAUUUUGCAUAGCAAAUUUUUUAAUAAAAAAUAAUAUUAAUUUUUUAUAGAUGUAGACCUAGAUGGAAUAAGUGACAUUUGAUACAAUCACCUAAAUAAAACUACAAACAAAAUCAAAACUCAUUGAGCUAGAUGGUUCUUUACAGAAUGUGACUACUUCAGUGGUGACCUAUGAAAUUCAACAUAAAAAAAAAAAAUCAGCCAAUUGGGCUUAGAGCUUUAGCACAAAAAAAAUACAGUAAGAUACAGAGUGAUACUGAAAUGGAUUAAGAUGUAUCACCUAUAGGCAAGUGUGCAUGCAUAUUUCCCUUUUAUUCUGUUUUUCUUUAUUCAUAGUUUCCCAAAAUUUCAUCUAGUACAUCAGAUUGAAUUUUUCUAGGUUCAGCUGGUGCCUGAAGGUGAAUGUCUAUUGAACACUUCAGACAAGGAUUGAGAUACUUAAAUUGGAAAGCGGGAACAAAAGUAUGGGCUUUCCAAGAAAACAGAGAGAUCAAUAGAUACCUUUCAGGAGAAUUGCAUUCUGUAUUUAUAGCGAGGGUAUAAGGAAGAAGAACACAGUCUAUUUCAAAUGGAAACACGUAAAUUCUUGUUCCAAGACAACAAUCCUACUUUCCCAAGAUUGGACAAAAUAACUCCUAUUGGCUCUCUUUUAUUUACAAAUCAACAGGUUAACAAAGAGACAAGAAAAGACCUUAUAGAAGCUACUUCUGUGAGAGGCACAUUGUGCUAUUUCACUUCAUGAAGAAAGUGUUGGAAGAGUUUGCUGCUCCAACUGAGAGUCUGUUGCAGGCUUUAUUGAAUGCCUGUUGCUCACUUUGGACCUCCUUUCUUAGGUUAAAUCUGUGUGAAGCUUUCCAGGCAGAAGCUGCUUCAAAUUUCACAGUGAAUUCAUCUGUCAGUCCAAUACAAUGAACAUUUCAGGUAUUCAGAAUGAAAGCAAGAGCGCUUCCAGUUGAGGGUCACUGCUUUUUAUUACUACCCAUUCACAGGUAGAUGCGACCACGUUAGUUUCAAGGUGUAGACUCUACUUAUUUACCUCUAAGCUUACCAGCCAUGUACAUCCUUGCAAGGUCUGUGCCAACAGUGUUUUUUUAAAUUCAUCGCCUCCAUCAGGUAUUAGCUGUGAUAGGUACUUGGUAACCAGCAGUCUCAGAACCAUAAAUGUGUUCUUAAGUGUUCCAUGGUUGCAUGUUUGUGUGAUUGGGGUGCAUGUUAACACAUCACACAAGGACACGAAAGGGUCAGAAGAGAAUUCCUGCAGAGUCACAACAGUUAACUCUCACUUUCCACUGUAAGGCCACUCAACGGCUUGGACAGAUGUGAGGACAGGAAGUCUUGUUUUUUAUUAAAUACAAAUGUUUUACUGAAGUUCAAAGCCUAACAUUCAAACACACAAGCAGCAUCAGAAAGUGACAAGUGUUGGUGGAGACAUGCCUUUACAAGACUUUGGCCUGGGAUGUUACGUUGUUUUGUAUUUGGGUUUGGGGAGUACUUUUAACAAAGUAGUAAAAAAUAUCCUAUUACACAGUAGUGUAAUUCCAUAUUUUAUAUUAAUUGCUCUUAAAGAUCAAAAGCUAUAUUCUGUCUGUUAAUGUACACACUCGCAUGGUCUCCUAUGAAAUCAAUGAGAUCCACAUGUGUGCAUCUGAGACCUAAAUUUCUCCCCAAAGAUUCUUUAAAAUCCUUUUACAGAGCAGUAAGUCAUAGAAGAAAGUCAUGUGUUCCCUUUCUUCUGCCUCUAUACCCAAGCCAGACAUGAAUUAUUACUGCUGCUCCGAAUUACACUGGAUGAUAACGGUACCCAGAGGGGUCACUGGCCAGCCAGAGAUUACCAUUGCUCAGCAUGUUCUGUUCUCACCUUCAUACAUUCCUCAUCAAUUCUGCAGUCCUCUUACACCAGCAAAGAAAUGCAAAAUAAAUGCAGCCCAGCUUCACACUAAGUCUACUGAGGAGACUGGAAUGUGCUAUAGGUAUUUAAGUGGCAGGCUGAAGCAUGGUGGGAUACCACAAUGGCUUUCUAUGGCCUGGCAGAACAAAAUUUGGUAUAUGCACACAGCUGCAAUGUAAUCACAUUUGCAGAUAACUGGAAAGAUUUUAGACAGAAAGUUAAGUAGAUAUGUAAUUUUACUUGUGGGAAAAAGUUCAGUGUCUUCAAAAAUGAACAUACAGGAAUCCAGUCAACCAUCUUUAUAUUAAGUAUAAAAAAACCCACUGAAACAGUCUGCCAUGAUUGGCAAAAAUUAGCAAGACUGCUGUCAGUUUUAGCAGAAUUGCCUAUGAGAGAUGCAAAUCUCUGAAAGAGUAGCUCAGGCUAAGUCUGAGUUGAGUUUACAAGCUUGAAAAUCUUGUGACAGCAGGUACCAAAACAGCUUGAACACUAGGAAGGGCUUGAUGACAACUUUCACCACAGUAUUUCAGCAACUCAACUUCUAACCCUGCUUGAGCCCAAAUAUUCUCAGGGACAUACAAUGAAAAAUAUACUGAUAUGGCUUCAUGAAGAUAUCCUAACAGCAAAAUGCUUUGACUUUCGAGGCAGCAGCUGUUCUCCCUAUCAUCUAUAUGGAGAACAUUAGCCUGUGAUUUGAAUUCAUUUUAACUAAGAAUAAUGCUGUCCUUGCCUAAACCAGUACACAGUACACAACCCACCAUCUGAUCCAUGGAGCCAUGUUGGUACACUGAAACAGUCACCAAGAAGUUUCUAAAGUCUUGUGAGCUCAGGCAUCUACUUCAGCUGCAACAGCAGGCGCUUAGCUCUGCACAGAGGCUGAAGUGGAACUGGAAGAUCAAUGGGCAUAUGUAGCUGGGGUCAUGCUUGAUUCAGUGUAUGUCAAUUCACUGACUGAAGGAGGGUGACUUAUUUCAAUACAAAGAGUAAGUUAAGAAUGUUCCAUAACAGAAAGAAAAGGAGGAAGUAUUAGAUAUUCAGGGCAUUUGCAGCACAUGCUCUGUGAGGUAACAGAUGAAAAGAGAAAGCUUUAUAUUGAAUUCAAAGAAACAUGAAUCUUGAGAACAACCAAUUUACCCGUUGUUUUUUUUUUUUCCUCCAAUGAAAAGAAUGGCUGUCUAUAAUCCAUUACAAUUGUACCAAAAAGAAAAAUAUGAUUAUAAGCUGAAAAAAGGCUAGAUUGCAAAUAACAGCUUCCUUCGGAUAUUAGAGUGAAAAAAAUCCCAAACAUCAGUGAAAGUUUGAUUAUUUUUUCCAAGAAUAAAGAAAAGAUUAAGUUUAAUGGUAUCAAAAUUAAAGGUGAACUUCAAUGGUUCUCCAAUGGAGAAAAUAUCUUAAUUUGGAGGGAUGCCUACCAUUUUGUUCAGCAAUCAAGAAAAUGUGGAAGAGAAUGGGGAGAGAAAAAAAAAGAAAAAACUAAGCAGAAAGAUCAGGUAACUGACAUGCUACUAUAGUCUUCGUAUGGAGAAGAGAGACUAAAAAAAUCUUCCUGCAAAAAAAAAAAAAAGGUACUUGAAAUAUAUUUGAAUAACCUCCAGUAUUAAAAGAUUCAUAAGUAUUGCUCAUAAAUUGUUAGAACUCCAUGCCUAGCAGGUAAACAGUGGAUUACUCAACAUAGCCGUUAGAUUUCAGAUGUGAAAAUGAAAGUAUGGACUCACGUGUCUAGUUAAGGUUCACGUUUUGUAUGCACUGAGGGAAAAAUCCUUUUUGUUGAGGAAUAUGUAAACAGAGCAUGUAAUUUUUGAUAACUGAUGUUUAUGUUUACUUUCUUUUUGACAUUUAAGUAUAACUGACAUACUGAUGGCUAAGGAAAGAAGACAACUAAGCUGGAAGAAUAAUAAACAGAGCGCUGUGAGAGAUGGAAGAGAAGAAAAACAUGGUGGGAAGAACUGAGGCAGUGAGGCUAAGUUGCAAAUGAGCAGACAAGUAAUAGCUUGGUGUUUCACCACAAUAUCAAAUGAACUUUCAGAACUUUUCAGAAGUCAAAUGCAUUUAAAAUAAUUAACGAGUUUGCUUUAAAAAGCAUAUGCAUCUUCUCUCUUGUCUGUUAAGCCAGAAUGAUACAAGGAGAGAUUGUGAAGAAAAUUAUAUCUACAGGCAUUGUUUUUUGUUAUUGUUGUUAAAAAUAUUUCCACAUUAAGUGGCAAAAGAAAAAGAAAGAAAAAAAUGUAUUCAUGUUCUUUGAGCCUAACAAUUUCUGUGAAUCUUAAGAUCACUCUUGAGGACCCAACUCUACAGAUCAUCAUCAAGAGGUAAAAAAAGAUCACACCUGGAAAGAUCUGAAAAAUUCUGUUUUCUCAUUUAGCAUGCCUCCCUGCUAAACAUACGUGUCAAUCCUUGCAUAGCACCCCGAGCAAUCCAGCUUUACUCAUAGUGUCUGCAUAGACGCCAAUACUGUUUGUGUUCAACACAAACAAAAUCAAAAACUUUAAGUUCACUUGGGGCUGAGAAGGACCUUAAUACCUUUGAAGCUAUUAGUGUGACUGAAAUGGAUGAGACCAAACAGGAUACACAGCUGUCACCAAAACCCACAAACUGAGCACUAUGUAGUGUUGCUGAUAUAAACCUCAUUUACAUGAGAGCUAACACAUGACUCUGAGAGAAGGCACAUGGACCACUGGGUUUGAGGUACGUGAUCAUGUCCUUAUCUUGCACUGCUCAGCAGACUGUAUUUUUGCACCCUGCUUCCAGAGGUUAGCAUAAGCAUGGAAAAUUCUUUUACACAUUUAAUUACACUCUUACAUCUAGAGGCCCUUUGCUCAGUUUAUCAGAGUCCAACUUACUGUCUAUAGAAUUAUUAUCAGACAAAUCCCUGUCUCUUCCUUCUAAGUAAAAGGUUUAAGAGAUUAGAAAGUAGAAGAGAAGCCAUAUACAGCUAAUGAAGGACAAGCCUCCAAAUGUUUGGAGGUUUAUUUCAGAGAUACAUAUCUACAUACACUUUUUUUAACAGAAGAACAGAUACAGAGUCCAAUUUUGACUUGCUUAAACAGAGGACAGGAUAAGAAAGAACACUCUGAGAUACUACCCUUCUGAAGUCUCUAGCUGAACAGAAGAAAUAAUGUGUUUCCCAGCAAUAAAGAGUAGUUAGGUACUGAAUGUCAAAAUUGUAAUGUUCUGAAGUUCCCGGCAGCUCUACCUGCUUGAACCCCUGUUGAACCUCCCCAGGCUACCUCCUUGAGCCCCAGGCAAAGGCCCUGCUACAAUUGAUAUCUGUAGUCCUAAAUCCUUGUCAUACCCAGAAGGUGCUAGCAAUCUGCCAUUAAACUCCAGUAACACUAGGCCAACAUUUUACCCUCGGUUAUGCUCACAGAGCUUCCUUUAGUGCAAUUUGACCAACAUUAAAAAUGGAGAGCAAGAACAUCAUCAGCUAUCAACGCUAUGUUUGCCACACUGCAAGCCUUCUCAGCUAAAGCACCACCAGCCUCACUACUUUUAGUUGUUCCAAAUGAGAUUCCAACAGCUAGUGGAGGUAUUGUACUAAUUAAGAUUUUGAGAGUAGAAAGCAAAAUCAUCCUGUCUGACCUCACACUUGGCAUAUUACAGUUCCUUGCUUUCCUACACGAGAUUGUAUUGAUAACAAUCAAUUGCCAGUAGGGAUCUGAGGCAGUGAGGUAAAUAAAUAUAUAAAUGCCUCCAUAUGUGUUCUCCACUUCCUUAGGCAAAAAUAAUGAGUCAAAUGAGAGAAAGAUCUGCAGCUCUCUUUUGUAUAUAGUUGCUGUACAUAUACCAACAUGGAAGAAGCCUUCCACAGACUUCUGUCAUCACUCUGUGUGAAAAAGCUCUUUUAAAGGAACAGCUACCAAUAGGCAAGUGAGCCAGAAUACUUUUGUGCAGGAAUGUGCGUUUCUCACAUAGCUCAGGCUACCAAAAGGAAUACAAAUAUUUGCAGGAGUAGAAAAAGAUGCAGAAAGGACAGCGAAUCCUCUCACUGCUGAAACACCCUAAGUAGGAAGCAGUGGAGACUCCAAGGAGAAGAAGAGUCUGGAGAAAUCAGCAACUUAAGAGUAACAGUGAAUGAGAAGAAGAGACUGGGAGAGGGAAGAAAAAGGCCUCUGGAUUUCCACCAGAAUUAAACUGGAGAAAUGGGAGCAGGAGGGGCACAGGAGAAGCAGGUUAAAGAGAUUUUGCUCCUAUCUUCGUCAGCAAAGAGGGAGUAGGAAACAAGACCCAGACAGCAUUUCUCUCAAGUCUGCUGCUCUAGGCAACUGUUUACUUUGCUUUUGCCCAAGAUAGCGUGAGACGUUAUAAAAUGAGUUUCCACAAUGCUCUGAGUCACCAGAAUAUGGAUGAGAUCUGUGGAUUCAAGCCACCUUUCAAGAUUAUGAAUCUCUUCUGAAUAUCCAUUAUGCCAAUGAUACAUAACAAAAUCACUGCUGUAAUGUGAUGCACAUGUCAACUUUAAGGAUACAGUCCCUGCUCAGAUGGCAUCAGCAUAGGGAAACGUCAGCAUGGUGGAUUACCAGAGCAAAUGCUUUAACAUGCAAUGUGAUGCAAUGUGUUUUAACAACAAUUGUUCCCUUAUGUUUGUUUGUGUCAGGUUUGACGUGACUAUCCGCCAGGACAAUGCUCAGGAUUCUGUGUGUUGCAUUGCAGAAACUGAUUAUGUGAUCAAAUGCUUAAAGCACAUAAAAUCACGCCCAAGAUUCGAUGAGAUAUAUAUGCCAGAAAAUUCAGUAGGUGCUUAAAGUAAUUGACGCUAACAGCUAGACCUGGGUUUUUCAAAGGAAUAAGCGUUUUUGUUUGUUUGUUUUUCCUAAUGCAAUAUAAUAUAAACUGCCUAGAAAUUCAGCCUUAGCAUAAUGUUCAGAUCAAAUGAAAUUCACCCGUUAAGAAAGAACAUACACAGGGUCCUCCCUGAAGUGGAAAAGACAGCCUCUGAGUAGAACAGAUACCCUGGGAGACUUCUUACCCUGUGCACAUGCCCAAAAAGACAGCUCUGAAUCUAACUGCAUUGUAGAUCUAACGCUUGUAGGAUUUGGAGGCUCAACACUGAGCUGUAGCUCUCAGCAGCCCUUUUUCCCCAGUCCGUGAAACUCAGAAUCCAGUGGAGACAAAAACCUCUAUAGAAAUACUGUAUAUGUAAAUGGACUUAGAAGAAAAAGGGAGGGGUACCUGCUCUUAAAUUAGUCAUAUUUAAAAUGUAUUCUCAGAACACACUGAACUAUCAAACAGUCCCCAAAGUGAAGAAAUGUGAUUCUCAUUCAAGACUUAAGAGCAAAAGGCAAAACAACUGUGUCCCUUGCUCCAAAGUCAUUAUCUCACAUUAAGACUUCAUCCCGUUCUCCCAGUUCAGAAUUUAGUCUGGUUCUAAUGGCUCACUAGACAGUUUUGCAAGAUCUUCAUGCUCUCAUAGGUAUUUAGGCACUGAAAUCAGUGAGAAGUGGUACCUGUACACUUUCAGAAAUCUGUCUUUAAUUUCAACAUCCCAUAAAUUUUUUUAACAAAAACAUCCUUCAUCUUUUCUGCUUCACAAGUGAGUUGUGAAGCUUAAUUACACAAUGAUUAUGAAGUCCAGCAAAUACAACAUAUAUUAAGAGUACUUAAUGAGAUUUCUGUCACAAGCAGACUCUCUCUUGUAAAAUAUUACUCACACGUUGCAGGAAAAAAACUCAAGAGAAAAAAAUACAGAUGCAUUAAAUAUAAAACAAAUCUAGCUUGAUUACUUCCACAAGUAAUAUGUUAUACAACUCUAUAACAUCUGUCAGGACAGCAUAGAGAAUAGCAUAGGCUUUUCUGAUCAGAAUGGAAUCCUGUCAGCACGGAAUUCUGUCAGCACAUCCAUGUACUCAUUUUUACCUGCAGUGCCCAUCCAAGACAGGGCCUCCAGACCCACACACGAUCUGCUUCCCAUGAGAUCUAGUGGCUUAAAUACCUUCAAAGACCAGACAUGAAGUUCUGUUCCUUCAAAUCACAGAAUCAUGGAAUCAUAAAAUGGCUUGGGUUGGAAGGGACACCCAAGGAUCAUCAAGUUCCAAUCCCUCUGCUGCAGGCAGGGCCACCAACCUGUGGUGGUUGUAAAUAUUUCCCAAAAAGAUGCCAGCAUACUAACCAAUUACCACAUUUAACAGCACAGUGGAAGAUGGCUAGACAACUAUGAGCAGACAGACGAUCAUACAGAAGGCAUUGCUUGCAUACUUAGUGAUUUCUCAGGCCAUAACAAAGCAUACAGCCUAACUAGGGUAGGAGGACUCAAAAGAGGAAGACCAUUCCUUAAGAAUACAGAGCUGUUUGGCACAUUUCUGUGAACAAACAGUGUAGCUGUUAAAAUACAUUUCCUGUUAGCAAUUAUGGCUCAGAGCUCACAGACGCUUUUACAGAACUUGGACAGGAGUGAUUUUCAGUACAUAGUGUCUCUAACAGCAAGUUAUAUUAAUAUUCACCAAAGGAAAACCUGUUUGUUGACCCAAAGUGUGACUGCUUACAAUUCUCUUCUUGUGAAAUUAUUUAGGUCCUGUGGGACAACUGUACUGAGCUUUUGACGCAAAUAUUAAAAUUCUAUUUAAAUGUACAAUGUUUUAAUGCAAAUUUUUACCAUAAAACCAAAUGCUCCAUUCAGUUAAAUUAAUAGAAUUACAAAAAGAUGUAAUGAUAGCAAUUAAGUCUUGAAAAUGCAAAUUUUAUAGUCAAGGACAAUUACCUCAUUUAUAGUAUCCUGGAAUGAUGCCAGAUGAAGGUAAUUUAGAUCUCCCUAGCUCACAGUUAUAUCAUGAAGGAUAUCUUAAUUUCAUUAGUACAACAAAGAUGGGUGAGAACUUGGACAAUAUGAAAAAAAAAAGGGAGGGAGAGAUGGGAGAGAAAAUUUGACCUUUCUCAUUUCACCGCAACUAGAAUACAUAGAUCUUACUAAAGGAUUAGUAAUAUUUCUUUCUAUUCCUAUCUCUGGGGAAAAAAAGGGGGGGGGGGGGCACUUUUUCUUUUCUUUUUUUUUAUUAGCAGCAAUGGAACAUUAGUAUGAAAAAGGUCAACUCCCUUCAGAUUCUUAGAGCCACUAUGCCCACAUCACAACAGUUAUGGACCAUUCCUUAUUUCAGUUUUAAGGAUGAAUACAGCAUUGGCUCUUGGCUGACAGAGUAUCAAGCUAUGGCCUAGGGACACAUGGUUUUGACUCCAAUAUGAUUUAAAAUGUUCUUGAAAAAUUCUUCUUGCUCUUACAAAUACAGCCCCACUUCAUCCAAAGAGGCAAGUCAAAAAUCAUCAGUUUCUCAUUAGCAAGCAAAGAGUGAUCAAGUAGACAAAGAAUACAGAUUGAUAUGCCAUAGAUUCAGUAGUCUCCUUUGAAGGAAAAACAAAACCAAACUCUCAUACAAGUUCUUUAGCACAUUAUCAAGUUCAAAUAGGAGUUUGCAAUACUGCAGAUAUCCCUCUUCCUUUCCUUUCUCUUUGCUGUAGUAGCUACCCUUGACCCUUGAAGAGAUUUCAAAAAAAAAGCAUAUUAAAUAAGGUGCACCAUAAAGUUUAAUUUUAAAACUUUACAACUCUCAAUUUUUCUUCCUGGCCUGUUGUAGCCACUGCAAAGAAACUCAACUUCCAGAAAAAUAGCUGCAUCCACCUAAAAUCUUCUUACAUCAAAUUCCCUUACCAAACCUAACAUGUAGGCUCUGGAGAGAGCGGAAACCUCCAAGGACAGAGUAGCAAACUUCACCUCUCUCCUUAUCUUGAACACAACUAACAAAGAUAACAUGAAAAAGCCUUCCCAAGAGUAGAAAUAUCUGCUUACCGUCAGCAUUUGGUGGUUUUGCUGUAGAUGGUGCAUGCUGAAGCCAUCCCAACCUCCUGCUGACAAACCUUUCCUUAACACCCUGAGAUAGGCAGGUUCUAGAGGAUCGGCUUUAUAACUUCGAACAGCACCACAUAGCGACAGGAAUGCAGCAUUAGAAACCCCCAACACUCCUCAGAAAGGGUUUCUUCCAUCCAGUUAUUCUGUUUUAUGAAAAACAAGCCUUUUCUGAAGGAAAAAGUACCUUAAUUUUUCAUGUCAACGAUGCUAUCAGUCACCUCUGCCGCUUGAAAACAAUGGAUGACACUCUGGCUCAAGGAAAGCCACCUGCUUCCUUUGGGGUUAAGACGUCUUUUGGUGAAUUUCAUCUCCUAUCAAGCAAUAGCAAAAUUAGAGCUUGUACCACUAUUGCCUUCGUUCCGUGCUUUUGAUGCUUAUAAUCCCAUUACACCUGACAACUUAACCUGAGCUUGUUAUUCAUAGACAUGUAUGGUCUGAUGAAACAUUCCCAACUCCUGAAAAAUCUUUUUGUGUGCUGUUGGGAGAUUUGGCCUAAUAAGAAGUGCUUGAGUGGGUGUAGACUGGGUAUGUUUGUACCAUAUUAUACAAUAUGGCUUAAAUUUCCAUGGCAUUUUAUUGGAAAGUGUGAACCUGACAAGCUAAUAGUUUGUGAAUCUGUUGAGUCUCUGCUGUUGCAUGGAGAAAUGUUUUGUCUACGCUAUUCCCAGUAUGCUUCAAUUGUAAAAAAAACAGGCUGCGAUCAUAACACAUCUUCAUGUAAAUCAAAGUAAAUUUCUGCAGGACAAUAUUUACCACUGUUAUGUACCACAGAUCUCCCAAUUCCUCAUUUGACCUAACAGUCGGAAUGAUCUCAGGCCAGCAAUAAGCUGAAUACUGGUUGCUAAGUAAUAUUUAAUUUAAGCAUGAUGUUGUGGUCAACAAAAUGAAUUAGCAUUUUCUGCAUUAAUGAAGAUCCAGGCCUAAAAUCAAAUGAUGAUGUCAAAAAAUUAUGGAAAAUAUUAUUGAUCUAAUUCUUCCUUUUAUUACACUGACAGAGAAACAUGCUUCUUGGAAAUGUUACAUGUGAAGGAAGAAUUUUUCCUAUUGCAUCUUCUUUCAAGAGAUUCAGUUUUCUACUCAGGACUCCAAGAGAGUAAUUUACAUUUGUGAUCACCCAGCCAAUUCAAGGCAACUGUGGAAAGAAACACUAGUAAGAAUUCAUUUUGUUGAUCUUAUCAUAAAUGUGAGAGAGAUUUAACUUUAUCCUAAAUUCCACUAAAACCUAGAAUGCAAUAAAGAAAUAAUCAUACAUGAAUUUGAGUCAGUACUGUUCCUCAUCAUUAGGCCACCUGACAAGCUAGAAAGCAACUUCGCUAGUGCAUAUUCAUUCCAAAUUAAUACAGUAAUUCUGAAAACUGUUUCUUUUUUCCCCUACUUUUAUGCAUUUAUUGCUUUAUUUCUCUAUUGCUAUUUCCAGUCCAUAAUGCAAUGCAGCUUGUGGAAUGUAAUCCCCUUUCUUCUCCUGACCAAACUCCACUCUGAAUGCUGCAUGGAUGGGAUCCUUUCUUUUCUGUUUUUUUAAUGUUUUUCUUCUCACUUUACAUAUUCUCAAAAAUGAGAUGAAUUUCUGAUUAUUUUCCAUUUUCCCCACUUUAUGAAUAUUAGAGUGGUUUUCUUUUGCAAUGUGGCUUGGCCUGCAUUUCAAAGUCCACAUUUUGAGUGGUUCCCUGUGAUUUUUGGACACUUGGCAUUUUCUGGGUCCAACUCAGAGAACUGUUUGAUUUUCAAAUAUUCAGAGCAUUCUCAAAGCCUGUUAAGUACAGACAAUACUUUCAGUGUUCUUUAGGUCCUUUAGGCUUAUUUUUUCAUUAACCCAAAACUGAGGUAAAAAAAAUCCUGUGUUCUAUGAAUUCCACAGUGUUGUGCAGAGAAGGGCAGUGGGAAAACUGAGUUAAAUGCAGGAUUCAAGUUUUUCUGACUCUUGCACAACUUGUUGUCUAAUGGACCCCAUAGGCUCUCAGCAAUACCAGCUGUCUCUAAAAUUCAACCAACAGUGGAAAUGACUACCGCUGUUCUGUCCAUGGAAAGCAUGAAAAGGUUAUUUAAAAAAAAAAAAAAAGAGUGGCUUGCUUAGAUAUCACACAAAUGUAUUUGCUUUUUUUUUACUUAGUGAAAAGGCUGUAUUAUAAAAGUAAACUUUUCAAAACAGAAAAAGUAGGUAUCAAAUACAGGAAAGAAACAAAAAGACUAUAAAGUAAUCUUUACAAAAGCAGAUUGCACUGACACUGUCUUGCUCACAGUAACACACAAAGUAAUUUCAUAAAACCCAGCUUUUAUCUUGUUCUAAUAAAACAUCAAGCUAGCAACAUUAUGGUGAGGGCUUUCAUUUUCUUUUCGAUAUAGAUUCUGAUUGGAAGUAUUAGCUGAUGCAGCAGGAUAAAUAAAGAAAUGCCUAGAUUGUUAUGGUUCCCAAAGGUCAUUUUUAUGAAAAGAUCAGGAAAUAUGUUUCAUUGAAAUUAAAAGUAAAGCCAUAUCAAGUUUAAUAACAUUGUUACCAUAAUGACAUAAAAUUCAGUGAGAUGGUGUAAUGUUUAAUAUUUGACUGUCAAGCCUCUGCAGUGAAGCUGUGUGAAAGCAUUUAAACUUCUAAAACUGAAUUUCCUUUCAGUUUUAUUGCUGUUUUAUACCCAUCUCCUUUUUUUCCUUGCCGUAAUAUUCUGUGUUUCUUUGUUGAAUUUGAUGUUAUCAGUAAAAUACAAUAAAAACUCGUGGAGGGACACGUCUCUGUUCCAUAGAAGACUUAGCAAGGCUAGGCAUCCCCAGAUGACCAAAGGCUGUCUGUGCCAAAUCAUUUUUUCCAUCAAGUAAGAACCCCAGCAGUGUUGUAGGGCAUGGCAAGAGGGACGCUGUCAGGGCACAGCUACCCUCUGGGUUUUCUCAGUUGUGGCACUGUCAGAGGUGGAUUAAUAUGAGAAGCUGUAUCAGCCCUCAGCGAUUCUGGGAAAGGUCUGGCAUAAUGCCACUGUUCCCGGGUCUGCAUUCACAUAAACAAUUGUAAAGACGACUGAAGCCAGCAACUGCGAAGCCUGAGUGGUCUCUGGCUUUGUACAGCCUUUUGUUGGACACUGUGCUGAGUGCUAGGAUCAGAGAAUUGAAAAGUUUACAGCUUGGCACAGCUCUGCAAAAUUCUGAUUUUCAGAUAAAUAAACAAAACCCUGUCUCCAUCCAUGGGACCAAAAUUAUUCAAUACACUAAACAACAAGUAACAUUCUGGAAACAAAUUCUUUCUUUAAAAUGCAAGCUUGGUUUAGCACAUUUUCCCAGGAUGAAUUUCACCAGUUUAGCUUAAGAGUUGUUCAGUCUCAUCAGUGUAAAAAACAAGUAGCUGUGAACAUUCCUGAAACACUUACUUGGAGAUUCUCAUAAAGGAAAGAUCUGAGUGCCCGAACCACCAGAGUCCAUACAACCAUAGAACUGCUUGAGUUGGAAGGGACCCUUAAAGUCCAUCUUGUCCAACCCCCCUGCAAUGAACAGGGACACCUACAGCCACAUCAGGGUGCUCCCCUUUAGAUACUGAAAGGCUACUAUCAGGUCUUCCUGGAUAUUUCUCUUCUGCAGGCUGAACAGCCCUGGCUGUAAUACAGCUAAAUAUUCUGAUGGUUUUACCUCAUAGUUUUCCAUCAGCUUUGUUGCUGAUAGAGGAUGCAAAGAUUGAGGAUUUAAGCUUGCUGUAUUUGUUCUCUUUGUCUUUUUGCCAGACUGGCUGUGAUGAGCAGGUACUGGAUAUGCAGUUUGGUCUGUUGCAGCUGUUCUAGUACAUAAUCUGAUUCAAAAACAGGGAAUAUUUGGAGACUCUUAUUGGUAAAUACUGCUACUAUGGAUUUUAUAAGUACUGCAGAUGUGCCCUUGCCACCUUUGAUCUAGUAACAUGGUGCUUCUUACUAUGUGGACAAAUAGCUCUGAAUGUACAACUCAAAGAUUUGCCACUCUCCAUGAACAAGCUUCACUUUCUGCCAUUUGUGCCUGAGGUUAUUAUUUGAGCUGUGUGGAUCAUUCCUUACGAAAAUUAGAACUGUGAGCUAUUUAGCUGGACUUAUCUUUUCUAUAAAGGUGAAACUAAAUAGGUCUGACACAAAAUAGCUGUGGAAUGAGAGAUUCUGAUUCUCCUUGGAGCUUGUUUUAUACAAAGACCAUCUUAAAUUGCAUGUUUGCUAAUUCCUCUGUCUUAAAGACCUCAAGGAAGGCAGAAAGUAUGAUACAUCUACAUGAGUUGUACCCAGCUCUAGGCUGAUAGAGACUUUAGGCAGUAUUAAAACUGCCAUCGAUUCCAAAUCCCUAUCUUUGGGUCACAAUAAGACCAAUGAAGGUCUGCACAUGGGCCUUAACACACCUAUGUUGCUGCUAUCUUGUCUCGUGAAGCAUGACAUCCUUCUUAUAGAUUCACUGAAUCAACAUGUAAACUUCUCUAAUAAAAAUGGAAAUAAGAAUUUAUUUCUGCAUUUUAGUUUUUCUUUGCAUUUUCUGGAAGCAGUGCAAUAUAAUUCAGAUGCAGUGUGAGAAAGGCACUAUGAAAUCAUAAAUAAAGGACUCCAGUAUUCCUUUAUGAAAAAUCUUUUAACAUAAUAAAUUAAUAAUUAUUACUUCUACGGGGUUUUAUUUUGUUGUUGGUGGUGGUGUUUGGUGUUUUUUGUUGUUUGGUUCUUUUGAAGAAUCCUGUAAACCUUAACAGGAAAUUACAUGUCCAGUGCAAAAGUGUAUGAGAAGAGUCAAGAAAUCUAUGUCAUGGCUGUCAUUCUUCUUUCAAGACUAUUAACCUGAAAUCCUGGCUUCACUGCAUCUUAGCACUAAUUUCAGCAAAAAGUCAGACGUUCACUCCAUCAUGCUUUAGAAGCAACUGUCACUGUGUUAAAUUCUGCUCCUUCUUUCCCAUUCUCUUUUCCUGCUUGUCAGGUAAGUGUCUAUAAAUGUCAUGAGGCCAAAAUAAACUGGCGUGUGGAAAGACAGAUGUCUAGGAACAAGAAGGCAGAAUUCUUUGGUAAGACCAGGUAGAAGUAGAUAGGGCAAAGGGUUUGAUGAAAAAGUUGAUGAAGGUUUGGAAAUUGAUGAGAAUUCUACAUCUCAAGCCAAAAUGCAGGGGUUAAAGUGUUGCAGAAUUAUUUGGUCUUCAGUGAGAAAAAUGGUUCUGCUAAGUAGUUAUACAAAUGUACUAUUUAGUCAUUCACCACAAGAAAGUGUCAGGUUUUACUGUUACAGAGCAAAGAGGGACUACAGAGGAACAUACUGCUUUCCUUAGCCUUGCUCUCCUUCUGGAUGCAAUGUUUUGUGUUACAACAUCUUGAAAACUUUUCAGUCAGAGAAAGGAGCAGCCCUGCAGCAAUGAAAGAGCAGGUGAUGGACUAAUAAUAGGAUCUCUUGUUUAUUUCCUCUUCUUUUAUUGAUGAUCAGCCUGUGGUGUGUUGAGCUGGAAGGCAGAAAAAAAAAAAGGCCAGGUCUCACAUUAGCAAGGAGUCCUCCAGCUGUUAAAGGUAAAAGUCAUCCUGGGUGAGGUCAGUCUCUCACAGUGACUCAAACGGACAGUCUUGCUUGUGUCAGCAGAAGCUCAGCUACCAUCACAGCUGCACAAACGUGGGCACUGCUUCUUCAACUAACUGCCUGGAGAUUAGACAGGUUGCUGCACGUAGGGAAGGCAGAAAGAACUCUGGUAGGAUGAACACAGGUUGGAGUGUCGGAGUGAACACUGUGAGCCCUUCCUGUUCAAGGUUACAAGAGAAGGAGGGGCCACAUUCUGAACGUGGCAGGGCUAGGCAUGUAUGGAAAAGCCUGGGAAGCAGCAAGUCUUUUUUCCUAGUUCAAAGGCCUAACCAAGCUGUUCUAGGCACCAUGAGCAUGAGCUGGGAGAGCCCAACAAGUCACUGCCAGUGCUCUGCUGCCUGGCACCAAGGCUGCUUUUUGCUUUCAGAUGCUCUGUUGUUUCUCGUUUGUAUAACACCAGUCCUUGCCAGGUGCUCCUGGGGUCUAUUUUAAGGCAAAUAAAAAUGUUUUGUCUUUCAAAAUAUCUGUGAGAUCUCUGGGGAAAACGUACUGAAAUUUUGGUUUCCAGAAACUCUCACAGAAAGUCUGAAAAUUCAAAACACUGAGAGAAAUUUGGGUUUUGAAUCCUUGAAAGCAUGCAAUCUUACAGUGGUCCUAGCAAUUAAAGCACUGGCAGCUGAUUUCCCAUAGAAACAGAAGUGCCAGAUAUCAUGCCAGAGGUUCAUUUACUGAGCUGAUCCACUGUGGGCAGAAGCUCAAUGUUCCUGCAAUGGUCCUUAGGGCAAAACAAUUCCCUCAAAAAAGAGAAGAUGAUUCAGAAUUAUUUCACUGAAAACACACCUGGUAUUUUCUGGGUCUACUCUAGCAAGGAAACAAAUCUACAAUAAAACAAGCAUAAAACAAUGGAUAAGACACUGCUGAAUGUUUGGUCCCGUGGACAAGACAGGAGAUAAUGCAGAUCGUUGAUACUGAAUAAACAUCAAACUCUAAGCUGCACUCACUUGCCAUGUUCUGUUUUCUUGAUUAAAUCGAGUUGUUUUUGUUGAGAGGAAGAUAUAGCAAGCUGACAGCCAUACCGCCCUACCUUGCACACAACUCUACAGUAUAGAACUUAGUGUGUUUACAGUCAAUGUUCGCUAAAUCUGAGUUGCCAGGUGAAAUCAUUGCAUUUGCCUGUUUCCUUGUCUAAUGAAAAAAAUGCUUGUGAUAGCACUUGAGGUCACAACAGCACUUGGCUAAUGCAGUGAUGAUUUAAAAAACAAACAAACCAAAAAAAAAAACCAACCAUAAUUUUUUUCUGGAUUUGUUACAUGUGGGAUUUAAAGGCAGUUGCUGUACAGUGCCUGGAAACCUGAUUCACCUGAGUCACAAUUCAUCCAAUACAUCACGAUAACAACAUGUCUGAGGGAUGGGAGGCCAUCCAGAGAGAUCUAGACAGGCUUGAGCAGUGGGUCCAGGUGAACCUCAUAAGGUUCGACAAAUCCAAAUGCAUGGUCCGGCACCUGGAUCAUGGCAAUCCCCGCUAUAAAUACAAGCUGAGGUACUAGAAGAUAGAGCACGGCCCUGUUGAGAAAGACUUGGGGGUACUGGUGGAUGGCAAGCUGGACAUGAGCCAGCAAUGUGCCUUCUCAGCCGAGAAAGCCAGCUGUAUCCUGGGCUGCAUCAAAAGAAGCAUAGCCAGCAGGUCAAGGGACAUGAUCCUUUCCACCUCUAAGACCUCACCUGGAGCACUCCAUCCAGAUGUGGAAUUCUCAGUACAGGAGAGUCAUGGACCUGUUGGAGCGCAUCCAGAGGAGGGCCACAAAAAUGAUCCAAGGGGUGGAACACCUCCCCUGUGAGCACAGGCUGAGAGAGCUGAGGCUGUUCAGCCUGGAGAAGAGAAGGCUCUGGGGAGACUUCAUAGUGGCCUUUCAGUAUCUAAAGUGGGAGUGUAAGAAGGAAAGGGACAGACUCCUUAGCAGAAUCUGUUGUGACAGGACAAGGGGAAAUGGUUCCAAACCAAUAGAGGGGAGAUUUAGACUGGAUAUAGGGAAGAAGCUAUUUACUGUAAGGAUGGUAUGGAUGUCCUGUCCCUGGAAACACUCAAGGUCAGGCUGAAGCAAUCUGAUGUAGCUGCAGAUAUCCCUGUUUAUUGCAGGGGAGUUGAACUACGUGAGCAUUAAGGGUCUCUUCCAACUCAGAUUAUUCCUUGAUAAUUUAUCAAGGAAGUCUGAGGGCUUGGACAGGGUGUUGAUGAGACACUGAAGUAUGUGGACACCAUUACUUACUAUAUUAUGUCCUCAAGGAGUGGUGUGGAGGGAAUGGCUGCCCUUACCCCAUGGUACAGGAGCUUUUUAUCUGCAUCUCCCAGGAUCCAAAGAGAAGCCCCACUCCUUGAUCACUGAAGAUCAAAUUGAGCUAUUUACCUUCUCAAGUGUUAACAUGCAUUGGUGGCAUAUGCUUCCAAGGCUUUCUUUUGCUUGGUUUUGUUGUAUACAUGUGGAUAAUGCCAGAUAAGAUUUUGGCGCUAAGAAGGUUUCACUGAGUGCUUCUCUUUUCACCUCAUUUUGGUCUCUCCUUCUUUAAUGACCAGUGAAUUACAGUCAAUUAAAGGUGACUGAUAGGAACUGCAGGGAAUACACUCAUAAAGAAUUAUGAAAAAUAGCCAUGUACCUUGUGACCAGCGUAUACAAAUUACAUCAUAAGCAGGAAGUAGUUAUGGUUGAUUGGAGCAAUUAAAUGUUUUCUUUAAGAAAGGAAAAAAACCCUCCAGUGAGAAUAUUUUAGAAAAUGGCUUUUUAAUCAUCUGUAGAACUGCUAGAAUGUCUGUCUUCUAAUAGUUUUAAAGUGUUCCUUAGUUAGAAUUAGCUGUUAUUCUACAGAAUAGCCAAAUACUUCCCCAGGAACCUGCUUACAUGAAAGUUUAUUUUUAAUCACAAGAUCACAUCCAAAAAAAUUUACAUAGGCCAAAGGAGACCAGAGAAGAUUUGAGCACCUGUCCCCGGUGUAUAAACAGCUACAAAUUUGGGAGCCAUUGCACAGGAGAGAAUACUUUCUACAAUGAUUCAGGAAGACAUGCACACAGCAAGAUUCACCACUCAAAUAAGAAGCAUUAACGCUGACAGAAAAAUCAGGUGUUUCCAGCAGUAUCAGAUGCAUACUAACCAGCAUCCUGCCACAUUAAUCAACCAGCUAAUGCCUUCAGACUUGGCUGGUUCAUCAUCUAUCCUCAUCCCUGUAGACACCACUAGUUCCGCAUGGGCAAGGACACAUUUUGGGAGGGGAAGGACCAUGGCAGCAUGCUGUGGAAGAGCAGUCUCUGCCUAGCAGUGUGGUGAGCUGCAUAUGAGCCACAUGGGCAGAUGACAAGGGACAGCUUGGUGGUGCCCGUGCAAGCCAAUGGGGGAGCUUCUGCGCGUAACAUGCCUCAGCAGUCCACUUUUGCCUGCCCGUGGAUGGGAAUGCUGCUGGUCUGCACAGCCUGGGCAUAGGCAGCGGGGGCAGUGCUGGCAGUGUGUACCAGCACCCAGCACACCAGAUGAGAGCAUGCGAAUUGGAAACUGGCUAUUAUAGACAAUAGCCCUAAAAAUCAUCCUCUUGGUACAGAGAGAACACAUGCCUGAUACUCUACCAAUUGCCUAGCUUAACACUGAGGAUACAGCUCAGGAUGUCAUAUAUGUUCACACCUUCUUUCAAGGAGACUCAUGAUGCUGGAAAAGGGUGAAAAGGCUGUAAACAGUGUUCUUUGGUCAAAGAAACCCAGAACAUGUUUCAUAUAAUAAGGUUAUUUUUACUAUUUUUUAAUCUCAGCAGAAAAUUCAUUAUAUUCCUCCUUUUUCUCUCAGCUUCGACUGUGUGUCCCCUUUGUGCUUGCAAAACAAAGGUUAUUUUUUACUCACCUGUAUAAAAUGCUCGAAGAACUCCAGAUGAUUGAAGAUAUAAAAGUCAAAGGAAAUAUGUAUAUAUGCAUGUUUAUAUAUAAUUGUUGUUACUGUUGCAGUCUGCGAGAAAAACAAAAAUUAUUCCUAGCAGAGCGUCAGGUUUUUAUUUAUUUAUUUUUUUAUGACUUUGGAAGCUUUUUAAUAGCUAGUGAUCAGAUGAAACAACUGCUCUUGAAAUCAAUGAGAACUGGAUUACGUGCUGGAGAAGAGAAAGCUUCAGGAGAAAAUGUUUACAUUACUGUUAUCUUAGAUAAUCACCAUUUCUGCCUAUGUCUUCCAGAAAAACUCAUUUUGUAUCUCUGAAAAAUAUGUAAUGAUUUCAAGAUCAUUUCAGAGGCCAAACACACUAGAAAUUCAAAUCCAUGAUCUAAAUGCUUACAAAAAGUGUCUCAGAUCAGUAAAAACAAGCUGAAGAGAAUGAGAAGAUACUCUUUGAUUAUCUAACCUCCUUGACUGCAGUACGUUUAUUCUGUUUUCUUCUUACCGUUUUCUUCUUCUUGAGGAUUUGAAAUUACUUCUCUUUGAAUGUAGAGGAUAUAAAUUAAUCAAUAAAGUCAAUAGUAGCGCUUAUAAACAUAGCUUAAAUAUAUAUCUGUGUGUCCUACGCUACAAAAGAUAGCAGCAACUGAAGCAAUUUCCUCCAUGGCCUAAAUCCUAACUACCAUCUAGUUCCAGGAAAGCUAGUACAGCAUUUGCUGUUUCACACGGAUGCCAUAAAACAAACAUACCAUUAAAAUGAACACUGACACAUUUAUAGUCGUACAGCUUGGCUCUUCGCUGUGACGUUGCCCUUGAAGUGUUGAUGUCAUACCAAAAUUGCACCUCCUCCUACAGUGUAAAUUAUUCUGUAAUUCCAUGGUUCUGUGAUAGCACUACUGUGCCCACCAGUACUACAAUGGACUCGUUAACAGCUGAGCCUUUCCUUACCACUACAGCCUCAUGAACUGCCUCUCUGCUGCUCUUCACUGCAGGAGGCCAGCUUACAUUGCUAUUGGUAUUAACUGUUAACCAGCCUAUCUGCACUCAGACAGAAAUCAGAGUGAAACAGCAACAUUCAGCAUUUCUCAAAAGGUAAUCUAAGUUCUGGAUUUUCCAUCCAAGUGGCACAAAGUCCUUUGUAACAUGCAGCGACAAGGCUUGCAAUUCAGGCCCUCAGCUGUUGUUCUUCACACCUCUCAGGAUUUGGUGAUGAAAAUGACAUUCUGAUGUAGGGCACAUUAGCCCACUACUUUGAGUGCAAGGCCAUGUGGAUGUAGUCACUAAUGCUGUGGGAAAGAUUUGUAUCCAGAAGGCUGCAGUAACACCCUCAGAAGGAAAGCAUUGGGCUAAUACUAGGAACAAGAGUCUGGAAGAGCGCCCAGAUUCAUAAGAAAAAAUAUAUAUAGUUUCCACUACAGCUUGUCAAUGAAUAUUGAAAAAGGAUGAGUGAUGAUUAAGAGUUUAAAAUAAUCCCCUUUCCACCCUUUCACCUGCCUCCAGUCAAAUCAUAAAGCCAGUCCUGUCCCUGGCUUACAUAAUAAUAGAAUUAUUUUUCUUAGAGUUUUGACCAAUCAGCAGCCAAUAGCUAAGAAAUGACACACGUGUGCGCAAGCAAGGGCCUUUGGGAAGAAAAGAGAAAGAAAAUAGAAAAUUUAUUAUUGCCAGUCUACUGAUGAAUGCAGGCAUUAGAAUAGCAGAUGUAGAGAAUAUAAGGGGCUUGAGAGCGAAAAGCUAAGUGUUGCCUCAGAGCACCAGGAAAUGGAGCCAGGAUUGUGAAAGUCAUCAAGCUGCUUGCACUGUGCAUUCUUUAAUGUACAACACAAUGCUUUGAUAACCAAAACCUAAAAACCAAGACCUAAAAACAGCAAGUGCUUCCUGCAAGAGCCCUUGAAACAAGGUUUGCCGCUCAUGUAGGGUAGUCAUCAGCAUAGAGGAAGAUGGGGUAACUGGAAUUCUGCAUGCUAGAAUUUGGAUGCUUGCCUCAGCGCAUGGGACUGCUGCUUGGAAUACACCAAGCAACAAGAAAAGGACUAGAAGGGUGCAGUCUUAGCUCCAAGGUAAUGGAUAAUCCAGAAACAGCUGUUUCUCUUCCUCAACCUUUUUUAAACUGCCACAGGAGACCUCUUUCCACUCAGAGCUCAGUUAUUCUUCAGCAUCGACUUCUCAACACACCACUUUGGCUUUCACAAGUAAUCUGUUGGACAGGCUAGGAAAUCUGCGCUGAAUUCCCUUGUCUCCAAUGUUUGGCUUCAGUUAGGAAGAGAUUUGCCCCGAGACUAAACAUGUGUAAUAUCAAGCAUAACCUUUUCUUAGCUUUAUUGUACUCGCUCCUAAAUCUAAAUUAUGUAUACCUUGUGUGUGUUUAUGUGUACGUGAUAAAUUCAAACAGGAAUGGAAAAUGUGGACUCCAUUCACCCUGCAUCCAGUGCAAUACAAACAGACUCACAGAGGUGUGUGGGCAUAUAUAGACUUAGCCACAUCUACUAUAAAGAAGAAAAAAGUGCUGAGAAGCAUUUUGUCAUGUUUUCCAUUUGAAGCACGUGAGCUGUGGAAACUCAAAACUACAACAUUAAGGCUUUUUUUUGCUUUGUUUUGGGUUUUUUUUUGUUGUUGUUGUUGUUUUGUUUUGUUUCGUUUUUCUACUGGUAGGAUCCUUCUUGUGCUAUUUAUUUGCUAUCAUGUUUUUUGAGAACUUGACAAGUCUGUGAGAUGUUCCCCCCCUGCCUUUCCCCAUAUCUAGAAAAUAUGCACACAUUUGAAUUAUGACUUUCCUACAGGAACUAACAGCUGUAUGUGCAAAUCAUGCAUAUAAAUCAAUUACCAAGGCCUAUGUACUAUAAAUGCACCCAUUAAUUAAGCAAUGUCAGAUGCUAUGAACCAUGAAGUUCAUUACAUCUUUAGCAUUCAAACCAAGGAUUAUUUGAAGAAGCAAUACUGCGUUUACCUAAUAGUUAAUGAAAUUAAGCCUAGUUGUUGCCAACAUUCUUAUUUUAUGCCUAAUUCAGUGUUUAAAUGUUUAUGAAUAAAACACUAACUGCUGAAAGCAGAAAUGUUGAAAUGUAAUUACUGGUAAGUUAUAACGCACUUGAGGACUCAUUAUACCAGACUUGGGAGUUUUAAGAUCACCAGUGUAACACACUCUCCAAAAACACAGAAUUUUUAUGGGCUAAAAGCUGGAAAGACAUAAAUGCUGUUGAAUUUGUCCUGGCUGAGUGGAAAUUUUGAUGAUCGUGGUAGCGUGAUUUAUGGGUAUAACAUUUUCCAGUCAUUACGUGGUUGCAUUUCAACAUUGUGACAUGAUUUGCAUAUGUGAAUAUCCCUGCAAAUUAACUUCUGAUGAGAGCUACAUCUGCCUGGAUUAAGAAGCUCCUAUCUUAAAACCAAUCCAGCUGCUACCCUGAAGGACUUAGUUGGAGAAAAAAAAACCUGCAAUGUCAUCAUGUAUAGUUUUUCCAUAUGUACAUCCCGUUUUACAUUUAAAUAUUGUAUGGCAGCAUUGGUUACUUUGUUAGGGUUUAUUCUGCCAACUAAGAGGCACCCAGUUAUGUCAGCAUGCAGACUCUGCUCUGUAGCACUCUGCUUCUCUCUGUUCAAUAAACCUGUCUACAAACACACAAGUCUCAAAAGCUGCAGUAGGAUUCAUCACUACUGUACAAAGACAAUGUUGGCCCCAUGAACAGAUUGAAUUCAGAAGAAAACAGUGAAAAAGACAGAAACAAAGCCGCGAGCUUCCCCAGAAUUAACAGAAGAGAACAGCAAAGACCUUUAGACUAACAACACCUGCUGCUGGCUCAGCAUUUCCCAGAACCAGGCAUUUCUGCUACAAGAUGUAUAUCCGUAGCAAAAUGGCACAGCCGCUACCACAGAACACGAAUGCGUGGGCUCUGAAUGCAAUUGGUAGACACAAGAGUAGAGUGAGACAGAAGAGGAGCACAUCAUGAAGUAACAUUGUCUUUGGCAGAAUAAUAGUAAAUCCAUGUCAGACUCAUGCUGAGCACUUCGCAGAUCACAGUGGGUUUUUGUUGUUAUUGUUGUUUGUUGGGAUUUUUUAGCAACCUUUAGCAGCAAAGAGAAAUUUCAGGGAAGAAUGGAAAGGAGUCAGGAGGAAGAACUGUGGGAGGGAAAAUAAGACAAAACAAAACAAAAAAACCUGAGAGAAGCAGCAGAAUAAUUUGAGCAUGGGAAGGAAAAAACAACGAGCUUCAUCAAAAUUCUGACCAGAAGUAGUGUGGACUGAGGAAGUAAAAUAGAGAUUGUGGCCUGUGGAGUCCUACAAAACAGCUUGAUGCAGUAGACACUCUUAGGGGAGCACGGAAGAGAGUCCAAAGCAGCUCUGGAAAGGCUUGGAGAAAGUGGCACUUUCUUAAGAGAUAAAAAGUUGUAAAGAAAAGGCCAGGACUUCACUGGGAGGAUCCUGAAGGAGAGACAUACCCAUGGAGGCCUAGCAGCAGGGAUGGAAGUCAGAGGAAGGGUAAGCUGCACAAGGAAAAUGAGGAGAACCAUGUGAGUCCUGGAAAACUCGAGCUGACCUUCCAAGUGGAUCUCAUGCACUUCAAAGGUGGCAGAGAGUGAGAGAGAAGCUGUUAAAUUAGAGUGGAAGUGAACAGGCCUAAAGAAUCAGGAGAAGUAUGGGAAUCAAUCACAGAGCAAAACAAAAACAAACAAACAAAAAACCAAAAAAAACAGCCAAGUUGAGCUGAAAAUACACAGAAAUAAACAGAAGAAUCAGAGAAGGGAAGAAACACGAAGUUGAAGGGGGAAAAAAAAGAAAAAAAAAGAAUUUAUCAUUGGAUUUGCCUGAAAUUUUAGAUAUGGGAGGUCAGCUGUUUCGUUAGGUGCAUUUCAAUUUUUACCAGUAUGAAGAUUUUAAGAUGUGAAGUAGUUAUUGAACUGAACUUAUGAGCUCAUCCUUUCUUCUGUUCCCAAAGCUUGCUAACAUUGCUGCUGCCUGAACACACUGCUGUUGCUAAAAGACACUGUAACGCAAUUCAGAUUUUAAAAUUAUGAUAUUAAUAAACUUGUAAUGAAUUUCAAUAUACACACACACUGAAAGCUUGACACACAGAAGUGAACAGACAAAUCCCAAGGAGCAAUUAGAAAGCAUUUCAGGUACUCCUACGUACAGUCUUAGCUGAAUCUCACAUGUAUAGAAACUAAAAAAACAAAACAAAACAAAAAACAGUAAUAUCCAUACCCCAUUUUCAAAUGUUUUUCAUCCAAGUAUUUUAAACUAAAAUUUCAGUUGAAAUGCAGUUCAAAAAAAUCAUUAAAGACAGAGGAAGCAUCCUCCUGCAAAAUCAAUCAGAGGCAGAAAACAUCAGUGUGCUAAGCAGUGCAAAGACUAACAGCUAGAAUAACUUCACUUAUAUUUAGAUCUUUAGGCAAAGGCAUGGCUAAGUCACAUUCAUUGAACCAAACGUGUACAAAUAAAAGAUGCCAACUAUUCUUGGACUUAGUAGUGGCUUACUAUGAGUGCAGCCUUUGAUGCAAACGUAUCAGUAAACUGGGAAAGGACA